CACUUGCCACGUCGCUUCGUCUCCGGAUAGGAAGGAGAAGGAAGCUAGAAGUAGGACGUCAGCUCAGUGCGCCGCCAGCCGUUGAAGGGGUAGGAUUAUCGCCGCCUGUCUCUCCUUAACAGCGCCAUUAUUACAGCUACUAAGAUUUGAAGGAGUGACUGAGGCGGAGGGAAGGAAUGAGGCGGGUGGAUUGCCGGUGGAUCACAGGUGGAUAAUUGGCGGGUGACAGACCACCAGACGGUGACGCAGGAACCGCCACCACCACCACCACCACCACCAGCAGCAGCAGAAAGAAGCUCCCCGCUGCCUCCACGCUUACGGGAAAUUUAUACAGAUCAAGGCGUUUCGGGGUUCAACCUUUUCAACGGCACACACAUACAUACAUACAUACAUACAUACAUACAUACAUACCUACAUCCGCUUUAGUGUGUACGGAGGAGUUCGCAGCGUGUGGGACUGAGUGAAUGGAAGGAUAAGACGAGCAAAAGAGUACUUUGGCGUGGUAUAGAGAGAAAGAGGCGCCGCUGCAUGAAAAGUGACAUGAGGGAAGCCUGGGUGGUGACCUUCGCUUCCAGUCUUUAAGGCACAGUGUAUGGAUGUGAAUGCAGGGAGUUACAGAUGGUGGAGUCCCGCAGCAGGUGUGUCAGAUGUGUGACGGGGGUGAGGAUGUGACGGCGGAGCAUGUGGUGCUGGUGUGAAGCAUGCAACAGACAGGGAUGAGAUUUAAGUGGUGCUGAGGGAAUUCGGGCAUGCUAGAGAGGAGACAGGAAGGGAAUGGAUGGUGGUGCUGCUGGGACUGUGUGGAGAGACGGAUGAAAGGAUGAUGGAGGCUGUGAAGGAGUUCCUGGAGAAUGUGGCGUGCUAGAUUUAGGAACUAGUGAUGUGAAAGGUGAUAUUCGUUUUUUUUUUAUUUUCCUAGUGUCGAUACGAAACCCUGGCUCAGUAAUCCCGGGGCACUCGUAGCAUCAAGAUUGUUUAUAUUCUUGUUUAUUUCCUCGUGGGUUUUGUUGAAGUUUCCCAGUUACUUAUCUUUCCCAUAAUUCUUUCGUCUACAAGUCCUGCUACACCACCGCCAACAUUCUCUAUAUCCGCAUUCCUUCCCUUUCUCUCUAUUCCGUAACAUCCCACACCUCCCUUUCCUCUCAUCUCUUAUCAUGCCAUUCCUCUCUCUCCUCACAUUCCUUGCCCCUCCACUUCUCCCGCACACCCACUCCCGAGACAAGCCAAGACAAAUUCAAGAUCAAGACUUCCUGCCAGACCACGAGCACUCCUCCGCUCCCUGCAUGACAGUGAGGCAGGGACGACCACCACCACCACCACCACCAAUACAAACACCAGUCACGGAGGAGACAAGACGCUACAAGUUUCCUCCAUCUCCCCCAGUCGCCAGGCCCAGUAGAGAACCCCGUUAUCUCCCCUCCCCUCCCCAAACGUGGCCUCAGGAUUAGCUCGUAUUGGCUGAUUUAGAGGAAGUGUGUGAAAUCUUAAAGGCUCCCUAAAUAUAUUGGGUUUUAGUUUGGCCUUUUUUUUUAUUCUAUAUAUAUGUUUUUUUUUUUGACGUGAAUAAAUGCAGUGUUCUCCGGAGUCCUCGAGGCAAAAUAAAGAAUCCAGUU